rnacentral:rRNA from 1 species
AAAGAUUAAGCCAUGCAUGUCUAAGUAUAAGCAAUCUAUACGGUGAAACUGCGAAUGGCUCAUUAAAUCAGUUAUCGUUUAUUUGAUAGUACCUUACUACUUGGAUAACCGUGGUAAUUCUAGAGCUAAUACAUGCUAAAAACCUCGACUUCGGAAGGGGUGUAUUUAUUAGAUAAAAAACCAAUGCCCUUCGGGGCUCCUUGGUGAUUCAUAAUAACUUAACGAAUCGCAUGGCCUUGUGCCGGCGAUGGUUCAUUCAAAUUUCUGCCCUAUCAACUUUCGAUGGUAGAGUAGUGGUCUACCAUGGUUU